UACAGAGGUCUCAAGCGUUGUUCGGAUUCAUUGGGCGUAAAGGGUGCGUAGGUGGCGCGCUAAGUCAGGUGUGAAAUUUCGGAGCUUAACUCCGAAACUGCAUUUGAUACUGGCGUGCUUGAGGACUGGAGAGGAGACUGGAAUUCAUGGUGUAGCAGUGAAAUGCGUAGAGAUCAUGAGGAAGACCAGUGGCGAAGGCGGGUCUCUGGACAGUUCCUGACACUGAGGCACGAAGGCCAGGGGAGCAAACGGGG
rnacentral:rRNA from 1 species